rnacentral:rRNA from 1 species
AGGGAAAAGCUCAAAUUUAAAAUCUGGCAGUUUUUAAUUGUCCGAGUUGUAAUUUAGAGAAGUGUUACCCGUGCUGGGCCGUGUACAAGUCUCCUGGAAUGGAGCGUCAUAGAGGGUGAGAAUCCCGUCUAUUG